GGGAAUUUUCCGCAAUGGGCGAAAGCCUGACGGAGCAAUACCGCGUGAGGGAAGAAGGYCUGUGGAUUGUAAACCUCUUUUGUUAGGGAAGAUAAUGACGGUACCUAACGAAUAAGCAUCGGCUAACUCCGUGCCAGCAGCCGCGGUAAGACGGAGGAUGCAAGCGUUAUCCGGAAUUAUUGGGCGUAAAGCGUACGUAGGCGGUUUUAUAAGUCUGUUGUCAAAGCCCGAGGCUCAACCUUGGAWAGGCAAUGGAAACUGUAAGACUAGAGAGAGAUAGGGGCAGGAGGAAUUCCCAGGUGUAGCGGUGAAAUGCGUAGAUAUUCUGGAAGAACACCAGUGGCGAACGCGUCCUGGCUGGAUCUCAA
rnacentral:rRNA from 1 species